CGGGCGAGCUGCGGGCGAGGCGGCAGCGCCGGCAGCGCGGGGAGGCAGCGCCAGCUCGAGCAAAUCACAUCCCUGUCUGUAGAAACCUGGCUGGAGGCUGCAAUACUCAGAAACCUGCGUAUUAUAAAACCAAUGAAAAAUUGGCACAUUUAAGGAAUUUUACCAGUAGGAGCACUGAUGUGAAAGUUACAAAUAAUUGAAUGAUAACUGUUUAUAAACAGCAAGAUAAAGUACUCCAUCUACUCCAAGAAGUGUACUGACAACAAGAUAAAUGGGAGUCUCUCCUGGAUACUGCCACCUCGUGAGUGUUCUCUAAGUGGAAGAUAAAGCAGGAUAGCUAUAUAGAGACUGAAUUACUACAGACUGAAAACAGAAGCAGGAAAAUACUAAGGCUAUCACUGUACCCAUCAGGGUUGUUUUUGAAGUAAGGAGAUGCUACAAGUGAAAUUUGAAAAAUAAAUGUCUCUUAAACUUUGCAGUAAUUUAGAGACUGAAACUCAAGGAGAGCAGAUCACCAAAGGGAACUUCAUCAAAUGAUCAAGCAAUAGAAAAUGUUUAAGCUCUCUACAGCAUCUCAUCAGUCAAAUCUCAGUUGUGAUGACGAGUUCAACGCAUUGUGAAUCACAAGGGAAGCUUCUGCAGUAGGGUACUGAACCUUACUGCAGAUUGAAAACCUUGCCAUUUCCUUUCAGUUGUAGGUAUUUGGCUUUCAUAAGAUCUGGAACAACAACGCACAACAGGAAAACUAAUGUUUCUGUACUGCUGGCCAUACAGUCAGGUCUCCAUAUAAAAACGGGAGCUGAGGAGACUUUUUUGCUGUGGGGAAUUAUGUGCAUAAUGCAAUCUAAAAGCAUUUUUCAAAGAGCCAUUAGCUCUUUAAUUAGAAAGGGCCUUUGAAAGGGUGUUGUACUUCCUUUUUGCUGUAAGUUCGGGAGAAGGAAGGAGAAAGCAGAUCACAGCUAUACUUUCUUUGCAAUUAACUCUGAAAAUGUAGUUCCUAUAGAAACAAAAAUGAUUAUGCAUUUACCUUCAACUAUCAUAAGUAAAGAUUACAAUGCCUCUUCAGAUGAAAUUAACUAACCUUCGAAUCACUGAUCAUUUAGCAAGAAGUAUAAAAUGUAUCAAAAAUACUGCUAUAUUUGAUUUGUAAACAUUUCCUCCAGUCACCAGUCUAGGACUCUGAGGUUUCUAUAGUAAGAAUUCAGACUUUUAAAAGUGCUUUUACUAUUGUUUUGGGUAUCUGCAGUGUUCGAAUCUAUAAAAAAACUUAGGAAUCUCUGAAGAGUUGGGCUUACCACUCUGUUCUCAUGUUUUCUUUGCCCCAGUUUUUAGCAUAUUAUUUGGCAUCUAAGUAGAAUGAAAUCAUAGGCCAAAUCAUAAUUUGGACCUUAUCAUAAAGUGUGCCUCUAUCUCUAAACAAAAGGAAAAAUAAGGAAAAAAAUGGUUUAGCACCCACAAACGCAUAUCAGCGUGCGGUUUAAAUUUUUCAAAAAGUACUUUUGACGCUAAAAUGUGUCAAACAUUUUGAAAAUACAUUUUUUUAAAAAUGCUGCUUACAUAAUCAGUGGCAAUUUCUUGAAAAAAAUUAAAAUGUUUUGAAAGAUUACUUUUACCAUGUAAAAUUAUUCCUAACCUUGAAGGAAAACUCAAAAAACAACUUGGAAAUCAAAGAUUGGUUUUACAUGUAAUAGUUUUUACAUUGCCACCAUUUUUAUUCAGCAUCUAAUACCUUCUUAGUUCAGCUGUUUUUACAUACGCAUCUCCUCCAUUUGACUGAGAAAUGGUUUGAACGGAAUUCACAAAUGUUCUGUUGAGUUAAAAGUUGAUCAGUAGAUUUAAACGAAACCCUUCAUCAUUCAUUUAAAGCCCACACUUGCAGUUUCUCUAUGUGGAGAGUGAAACCUGUGAACAGUGGCUAAAUCCCCUAAGUCCAAGGGCAAGCCCAUCAGGGCUGCAUAGCUCUCCCAGCUGUGAUCAGGGAGCAUUGCCUAGCAGAGCUGAUGGAGGUGGGACUGUUGCCAUCCGUGCUGGGGGUGACAUUCCUAGUUUGCUGAAUGAGAACCUGUGCAGGAGGUAGGAUUGCUACACGUUUGGGACCCACAUUUUUGUGACCAGGUAGACAUAUUUUAGAAUUUGGUGACAUGAGGCAUGCUGUGUGAGAAUCAACACAGGCACAUAGGUGUGUGUUCAAAUCAUGAUGUUUACAAAAAUAAUACGUUUCUGUAGUUCUGCAUAGCUUCUGUGCAUGCUGCAGUAAUGGGAACUCCUGAGUUCUAGCCAUACCAGUUUUCAGUAUGGUAGGCAACCCCCCCCUUUGUCCAACCAUUGCUCAGUGGGGAAGGAGUUUUCAUAAAAUAUAUGUGUGUAUAUAUCAAUACUUACCGCUAAUAAGUUCAUACCCAAUACUCUGUUCUUCUUUCAUCACAGAGGUGAAUGUUUCACCAUACUAGAUUUUUAAUCACCUAUGAGUUGUUGCCGUUUUAUUAAGCUAUACUCAGCAACCAUGAAUUAUGUAUUUAGAAACUACAAAUCAGAAAUUCUAUUUUCAUUUUUUAGAGGACACCAAAUAAUUCUAGAGGAGAAGCACUUUCUCUUAAAUACCAGUAAGAGUGCUAGUAAAGUAAAACUACUGUUUAUUUACUAAUCAUCCAGUUCCCAAAAGCUGGAAGAUAAGCUUUUUUAUUUUAUUUUUUCAAAGUCAGAAAAGCCAGAAUUACAUGCAUCUCUGUCUGCACAGAAAUGAUACAUUGUCUUCUGUGCUUAAUUACCCAUCUUCUCUUUAUUUGUUCAGAAGCAGGAUCACAGCAAAUGUAAACUCUCAAAAAGGUGAAGUUAUGAUGUAUGUUCAUCUGCUUAGCUUAUAGAUUAUGGCCAUACACGAGCAGUAUGUACUUCCAUUUUAUUUGAAGAUUACACUAAUGUUGGAAGUAGAAGGACUGAGAAAAGCACAGAACUAUUCUUAAAUCAGAAUCAUUUGAAAUCUAGCUGAAAGAAAACUAGCUUAUCAUUUUCUUCAAAUAAUGUUUUCUGGUUCUUAUUCACUGUUGCUUUACUUCAAUUUCUAUGAAAAGUAUGAUGUCAAUAGCAUUAAGAGAGUGUAAUUUACCAGUGUAAAAUAGGAGUAUCUCACAGGUGAACCCAACCUGCAUUUUCUAAAGUAGCAUUUUCUCUCAGUGAUUUCAAAGGCCAGCUACAGAACACUCAUACUCUACUAAGGAACAGGAUAUAGCUAUCGCUGCGGUUCAAAAGCUGCUUUAAAUGAUAAAAUGUUAUUUAGGGCUAAUUUUAGCAAAGUUCUAGUAUUUGUCAUAAAGAAGAAAAAGCAAUAAUUUUAUUGACAGACAAGGAAUAAAAUGUGUGACAUCAUUUGUCAUUUGAUGAAAAGAGGGCAGUUUAGGUGGGCAGCUUAAUGUCAGUAGUAUGUACCAUUUACUUCCAACAUUUAUUUGACAUCGUCUUUUGGCUUCUUUUUAAACCUUGAUAUAGUUGUUAGUUAACCUAUUAGUACUUUUACUUACAGUACAUGUAUGCAAUUUGAAGAAUAUGAGCUACAUACGAGAAAGUAUGUUGUGAACAUAAACUAACAGAAUGUGCAUUGUGAAUAAAUGAAAGUCUCAAGUAUGAUGGCAGCCAA